ensembl:lncRNA
AGAGUGGAUUAAAGGGAAGGAAAGAGAAAAAGCAAGAGAAAAGGUAAAUUAAUUCCUCCAUACCAGAAAGCCAACUUUCAGUCAGCUUUUCCCUGGAUGUUUGUAUCUGCAAGCCUACUGAGGAUUCCAGCAGAAGUAAGUCUAUUAAUUUUCCAUGUACUUGUUGACGAAAAAGCUAUCAGGAUUAUGGGUUGAAUAUUUCUAGUGUAGGGAAAGUAAGGGAUGCAAUUAAUCUCUGUGAACUAAAAUAUACCUCUUUUCAUUAAUCUUUUAUUGUAAAUGAGCAAAGUAAUUGAACCAGUACCACACUGUCAGAAUAAAUGCAGUGCCAGUGGGAUAUGCAUGAGAGAGCACAUACUGAUUGAGUAUUAAAUAUCUAACGGCAAUAAUUUAUGGUUCAUUACCUCUUUUUGGAGUUCCUUAGUUGCAGAGUGCUUGAAUUUUAAGUAGACAGACUUUCAACAGAAACUGCUUUCAAAUGCUGAACAUAGCAAAUGUGCAAAACCCUCAAUCUACUUCAUUUUAAGAGUUUCGUACUUAGUUGAGCCAACCUCUGUACUGUCGGAAACAUGCAAGCUAUUUGCAACUUGGAUUAAUGCAAUUAAAGAUGCAGUGAUGAAUAUUCCAAGAAUCACAAUCUAUUUUCAUUUUACGCAUAAAUAGGAAGUUGUACGUGUGCAAACCUCACAUAAAAAUGUUAUGUUUCCAUACAUGAAUACUUCAGAAAGAUUGCAUUCUGGAUAUAAGAACAAAAGCAAGGCUACUGAGAUGCCUGUGUUGCAUCACGGAAUUUUAGUUAUGCAAGAAUAACUACUGCAAUUGUUCAAGGAGAAAAUGUCAGGCAUCCACUUGCAUAACUUUAAGUAUAAUCUGUGAUCUCUUUAUUAUUACUUGAUUAUUCCUGAUAGCAUCAGUUUUACAGAGAACUGUGGCAAUGUGAAGAGCUCGUAAGAAUUCGGCCUCUUGCCUCCCUAACUCUUCUCAGACUACCAGCAAAAGCACUACAGAGGGAAGAUGUCACUUUGUCAAAUAGGCACACCAUGACCUUCUUCACUAGCGGACCACCUGACAUAUCUAGACUGUCCUGCUAUGACAGACCCUUUCAAGGAUCAAAAAAGAUCAAACAAAUUGGAAUUUUACUCCGUUGCCUAUUGGAAUUGGUCCUGGAACGCACACAGCACCGAGGACCCUGGAGCUGGGUGAAUUCUGCUCAUCUGCUGAAAAUUAAACUGUCCUAUUCAGACAUUGCUCACUUGGCAAGAGACUGCUCUAUGUUUACUGUUUAUUGAUUUUUGUUAACUGGGACUAUAGAGGAGAAGCAUUUCAGUUUCAAAGUCGUCCCAGAGGACACUGGCAGGUUACAAUCAUUUAUACUGUAAAAAAUCAUCAUGUUAAUUGACUCUAUAUUUACAUAUUAUGAAUGCAUAUUUUAAUCUGUUUUACAUGAAUAAGUCCUCCACAAUGAAGAUUUCAUUUCCUUUUUUAAAACAACAUAACUACUUGCUUUAUUUGAAGAGACAAAUCUCUUCUAAAUUGUUUUGACCUUUCCCAGUGUCCUUUCUCAAAGUGGAAGUAGUAUCUGCCUUCUUGCUUCAGGAAUUUCUUAUCUCUAAAGCAAAGACAUGAACUCAACUUCAAACUGAAACCAUUCCAUUGUGCUCCUUCUGGUUUGGCAAGUCACCCUAUCUGACUUUAUUCAAAACAGCCAAAUUCUUGACUACCUCAACUAAAUUAUUUUUAGUCAUAACAGAUGAAAGACUGAGAACAGACCAGAUUUAGCAACACUAGGAGAUGUCUCUGGUUAAAACCAAGAAGACAAGGAGACAUCCUAGGCUAACGAAUACAAAGGUUAGGACAUUAAUCUUGUCUAGAGCAGAAAUGACUGACCGUGGCACUCCUGCAUCUCGGCAGAAGCAUGUCUGGCUGCUGAAUGACCUGCUGCUGCUGCUUAAUAUUUUCCCCUCAACCUUGGCAAAGUUUUAUUCUCUGCCUGUGCAAAUCUGAGUUUGAAAGCCGCUGCAUUAAGAUGAAAUACCUUCUUAUCCAGCUCUAAUUUCAUCAUCAUGAGAUCAAGUCUCAGUCAACAAAAAUCUGAUUCCUCUGUAAAAUAGCAUCCGUUUAUUCAGCACAGUCCCUGGCCUCAAGGCUUCAUUUUUAGAUGUUGCAAGUUUUUAGUGGAAGUCAUCUACAAUACUUAGCUAUACUUUACAAAUGAAAGUUCACAGAACUCCAUACACAUAUUUAGACCAUAGGUUCACAUCAGUAUAAAGGGUUGUUAUUCUUACCUAAUUUUUGCUUUUGGGUAUAUGCAAAAAUGUUUAGUUACAGAAACUAAUAUCUAACAUAAAAAAAAAAAAAACAUCAGAUAAAUCCUUUGCUCUACCUUUUGAUCCUAUCAGUUAGCUAUCUAGAUCCUAGAAUUUUUUUUUCCCCUCUACAAUCACACCAAUACUAAAAGCCAAAUGAACUAGACUCUGAAGAGAGAAAGACAAAGGCAUCCUCGGCGUAUCUGAUUUCCCUUGCAUGGUAUCCAUGCAAUUUCAUAUAGUAAUAACUAACACAGAAAAUUCCCACCAGCGAAGAUAAAUGCUUCUGUCCUAAGGCUUCUGGUGAAAUCCUAAUAAGGAAGCACUUUACAUUUCUGUUUGUCAAGAACUGCAUUUAGAGCACUGAAAUGAAACAAUUAAGCAUACUCACAGAUGUGAACACUACAGCCUUAUAAGUUACUGUUCCAUUGCUUCAUUCUCACAUCACUCUACUAUUCCUCUAAUAAAUAUGUGUACUCU